GUGGGGUUGUGGCUCAGUUGGUAGAGUGCUUGCCUAGCAUGUGUGAGGCACUGGGUUUGAUUCUCAGCACCACA
rnacentral:tRNA from 1 species